GACGAACGCUGGCGGCGUGCUUAACACAUGCAAGUCGAACGGAAAGGCCCUGCUUUUGUGGGGUGCUCGAGUGGCGAACGGGUGCGUAACACGUGAGUAACCUGCCCUUGAUUUUGGGAUAACUUCAGGAAACUAGGGCUAAUACCGUAUAGGAGCUCCUGCUGCAUUGUAGGGGUUGGAAAGUUUCGGCGGUUGGGGAUGGACUCGCGGCUUAUCAGCUUGUUGGUGGGGGAGGGGCUUACCAAGGCUUUGACGGGUAGCCGGCCUGAGAGGGUGACCGGCCACAUUGGGACUGAGAUACGGCCCAGACUCCUACGGGAGGCAGCAGUGGGGAAUAUUGCACAAUGGGCGGAAGCCUGAUGCAGCAACGCCGCGUGCGGGAUGACGGCCUUCGGGUUGUAAACCGCUUUCGCCUGUGACGAAGCGUGAGUGACGGUAAUGGGUAAAGAAGCACCGGCUAACUACGUG
rnacentral:rRNA from 1 species